rnacentral:rRNA from 1 species
AGACCCGAAACCCGGUGAUCUAGCCAUGGGCAGGUUGAAGGUUGGGUAACACUAACUGGAGGACCGAACCGACUAAUGUUGAAAAAUUAGCGGAUGACCUGUGGCUGGGGGUGAAAGGCCAAUCAAACCGGGAGAUAGCUGGUUCUCCCCGAAAGCUAUUUAGGUAGCGCCUCGUGAAUUCAUCUCCGGGGGUAGAGCACUGUUUCGGCUAGGGGGCCAUCCCGGCUUACCAACCCGAUGCAAACUGCGAAUACCGGAGAAUGUUAUCACGGGAGACACACGGCGGGUGCUAACGUCCGUCGUGAAGAGGGAAACAACCCAGACCGCCAGCUAAGGUCCCAAAGUCAUGGUUAAGUGGGAAACGAUGUGGGAAGGCCCAGACAGCCAGGAUGUUGGCUUAGAAGCAGCCAUCAUUUAAAGAAAGCGUAAUAGCUCACUGGUCGAGUCGGCCUGCGCGGAAGAUGUAACGGGGCUAAACCAUGCACCGAAGCUGCGGCAGCGACACUCAGGUGUUGUUGGGUAGGGGAGCGUUCUGUAAGCCUGCGAAGGUGGCCUGUGAGGGUUGCUGGAGGUAUCAGAAGUGCGAAUGCUGACAUAAGUAACGAUAAAGCGGGUGAAAAGCCCGCUCGCCGGAAGACCAAGGGUUCCUGUCCAACGUUAAUCGGGGCAGGGUGAGUCGACCCCUAAGGCGAGGCCGAAAGGCGUAGUCGAUGGGAAACGGGUUAAUAUUCCCGUACUUGGUGUUACUGCGAAGGGGGGACGGAGAAGGCUAUGUUGGCCGGGCGACGGUUGUCCCGGUUUAAGCGUGUAGGUGUGUGUUCCAGGUAAAUCCGGUUCACUUUGACACUGAGGCGUGAUGACGAGGCACUACGGUGCUGAAGCAACAAAUGCCCUGCUUCCAGGAAAAGCCUCUAAGCAUCAGGUAACAUCAAAUCGUACCCCAAACCGACACAGGUGGUCAGGUAGAGAAUACCAAGGCGCUUGAGAGAACUCGGGUGAAGGAACUAGGCAAAAUGGUGCCGUAACUUCGGGAGAAGGCACGCUGACACGUAGGUGAAGUGAUUUACUCAUGGAGCUGAAGUCAGUCGAAGAUACCAGCUGGCUGCAACUGUUUAUUAAAAACACAGCACUGUGCAAACACGAAAGUGGACGUAUACGGUGUGACGCCUGCCCGGUGCCGGAAGGUUAAUUGAUGGGGUCAGCGCAAGCGAAGCUCCUGAUCGAAGCCCCGGUAAACGGCGGCCGUAACUAUAACGGUCCUAAGGUAGCGAAAUUCCUUGUCGGGUAAGUUCCGACCUGCACGAAUGGCGUAAUGAUGGCCAGGCUGUCUCCACCCGAGACUCAGUGAAAUUGAACUCGCUGUGAAGAUGCAGUGUACCCGCGGCAAGACGGAAAGACCCCGUGAACCUUUACUAUAGCUUGACACUGAACAUUGAGCCUUGAUGUGUAGGAUAGGUGGGAGGCUUUGAAGCGUGGACGCCAGUCUGCGUGGAGCCGACCUUGAAAUACCACCCUUUAAUGUUUGAUGUUCUAACGUGGACCCGUGAUCCGGGUUGCGGACAGUGUCUGGUGGGUAGUUUGACUGGGGCGGUCUCCUCCUAAAGAGUAACGGAGGAGCACGAAGGUUGGCUAAUCCUGGUCGGACAUCAGGAGGUUAGUGCAAUGGCAUAAGCCAGCUUGACUGCGAGCGUGACGGCGCGAGCAGGUGCGAAAGCAGGUCAUAGUGAUCCGGUGGUUCUGAAUGGAAGGGCCAUCGCUCAACGGAUAAAAGGUACUCCGGGGAUAACAGGCUGAUACCGCCCAAGAGUUCAUAUCGACGGCGGUGUUUGGCACCUCGAUGUCGGCUCAUCACAUCCUGGGGCUGAAGUAGGUCCCAAGGGUAUGGCUGUUCGCCAUUUAAAGUGGUACGCGAGCUGGGUUUAGAACGUCGUGAGACAGUUCGGUCCCUAUCUGCCGUGGGCGCUGGAGAACUGAGGGGGGCUGCUCCUAGUACGAGAGGACCGGAGUGGACGCAUCACUGGUGUUCGGGUUGUCAUGCCAAUGGCACUGCCCGGUAGCUAAAUGCGGAAGAGAUAAGUGCUGAAAGCAUCUAAGCACGAAACUUGCCCCGAGAUGAGUUCUCCCUGAGACUUAGAGUCUCCUGAAGGAACGUUGAAGACGACGACGUUGAUAGGCCGGGUGUGUAAGCGCAGCGAUGCGUUGAGCUAACCGGUACUAAUGAACCGUGAGGCUUAACCUUACAACGCCGAAG